UGGGGAAUUUUGGACAAUGGGCGCAAGCCUGAUCCAGCCAUGCCGCGUGCGGGAAGAAGGCCUUCGGGUUGUAAACCGCUUUUGUCAGGGAAGAAAAGGUUCUGGCUAAUACCUGGGACUCAUGACGGUACCUGAAGAAUAAGCACCGGCUAACUACGUGCCAGCAGCCGCGGUAAUACGUAGGGUGCAAGCGUUAAUCGGAAUUACUGGGCGUAAAGCGUGCGCAGGCGGUUAUGCAAGACAGAGGUGAAAUCCCCGGGCUCAACCUGGGAACUGCCUUUGUGACUGCAUGGCUAGAGUACGGUAGAGGGGGAUGGAAUUCCGCGUGUAGCAGUGAAAUGCGUAGAUAUGCGGAGGAACACCGAUGGCGAAGGCAAUCCCCUGGACCUGUACUGACGCUCAUGCACGAAAGCGUGGGGAGCAAACAGGAUUAGAUACCCUGGUAGUCCACGCCCUAAACGAUGUCAACUGGUUGUUGGGA
rnacentral:rRNA from 1 species